rnacentral:rRNA from 1 species
GAUGAACGCUGGCGGCGCGCUUAACACAUGCAAGUCGAACGGAAAGCCCCUUCGGGGGAAUUCGAGUGGCGAACGGGUGAGUAACACGUGGGGAAUCUGCCCUUCUCCCUGGGCUAACUCGGGGAAACUCGAGCUAAUACCGGAUAUUUCGAUCAGGUCGCAUGGCCAGAUCGGGAAGGCUCCGGCGGAGAAGGAUGACCCCGCGGCCCAUGAGCUUGUUGGUGAGGUAACGGCUCACCAAGGCGAGGAUGGGUAGCCGAGCUGAGAGGGCUGAUCGGCCACACUGGGACUGAGACACGGCCCAGACUCCUACGGGAGGCAGCAGUGGGGAAUCUUGCGCAAUGGGCGAAAGCCUGACGCAGCAACGCCGCGUGCGGGAUGAAGGCUCUCGGGUCGUAAACCGCUUUCAGCAGGGAUGAAAUUGACAGUACCUGCAGAAGAAGCCCCGGCUAAAUACGUGCCAGCCGCCGCCGUAAUAC